rnacentral:miRNA from 1 species
CCGAACUGGGAGAUUGAGUUC